rnacentral:rRNA from 1 species
AUGCUUCAGCACCUCGAUCUGAAGGACGAGGAGUUGGAUGACGUGGUCGUAGGCGAGGAGGAGUUGAGGAAAUUUGAGGCGGAGGCACGGUGGAUGGCCAUCGGGAAGCUGAACACGAUGCGCCGUUUUAGUUCCACUGCUAUGUUCGAGACACUGAAAUCGAUCUGGGGACUAGCGCAGGUGCCGAAGUUCAGAGAGGCAGGCGACAAUCUGUUUGUGUUCCAGAUGUUCUGUUUGGGAGACUGGAAGAAGGUCGUUCAUGGCGGCCCAUGGCUGUUCAAGGGGAUGGGUCUUUUGAUCGAGGAUUAUGAUGGCAAGUCAGACCCGGAAUCAGUGGUCUUUGAUGGUCUCUAUGUUUGGGCACAAAUCCAUAAUAUACCUGAUCUGUAUCGUAAAACAGAAAUUGUGGAUCAACUUGCUCGCCGAAUUGGCAGAGUUAAGGAGGUGGUACUUGCUCCGAAGCUCUACUAUGAGGGAGAU